AUACCGCAUAAGCCCACGGUGCCGCAUGGCACAGCGGGAAAAGGAUUUAUUCGCUUCAGGAUGGACUCGCGUCCAAUUAGCUAGUUGGUGAGGUAACGGCCCACCAAGGCGACGAUUGGUAGCCGGACUGAGAGGUUGAACGGCCACAUUGGGACUGAGACACGGCCCAGACUCCUACGGGAGGCAGCAGUGGGGGAUAUUGCACAAUGGGGGAAACCCUGAUGCAGCGACGCCGCGUGGAGGAAGAAGGUUUUCGGAUUGUAAACUCCUGUCGUUAGGGACGAAUCAUGACGGUACCUAACAAGAAAGCACCGGCUAACUACGUGCCAGCAGCCGCGGUAAAACGUAGGGUGCAAGCGUUGUCCGGAAUUACUGGGUGUAAAGGGAGCGCAGGCGGACCGGCAAGUUGGAAGUGAAAUCUAUGGGCUCAACCCAUAAAUUGCUUUCAAAACUGCUGGCCUUGAGUAGUGCAGAGGUAGGUGGAAUUCCCGGUGUAGCGGUGGAAUGCGUAGAUAUCGGGAGGAACACCAGUGGCGAAGGCGACCUACUGGGCACCAACUGACGCUGAGGCUCGAAAGCAUGGGUAGCAAACAGGAUUAGAUACCCUGGUAGUCCAUGCCGUAAACGAUGAUUACUAGGUGUUGGAGGAUUGACCCCUUCAGUGCCGCAGUUAAC
rnacentral:rRNA from 1 species